rnacentral:rRNA from 1 species
UACGUAGGUGGCAAGCGUUGUCCGGAAUUAUUGGGCGUAAAGCGCGCGCAGGCGGCCUCUUAAGUCUGAUGUGAAAGCCCCCGGCUCAACCGGGGAGGGCCAUUGGAAACUGGGAGGCUUGAGUAUAGGAGAGAAGAGUGGAAUUCCACGUGUAGCGGUGAGAUGCGUAGAGAUGUGGAGGAACACCAGUGGCGAAGGCGACUCUUUGGCCUAUAACUGACGCUGAGGCGCGAAAGCGUGGGGAGCAAACAGG